rnacentral:rRNA from 1 species
UACGUAGGGUGCAAGCGUUGUCCGGAAUUAUUGGGCGUAAAGAGCUCGUAGGCGGUCUGUCGCGUCUGCUGUGAAAUCUCAAGGCUCAACCUUGAGCUUGCAGUGGGUACGGGCAGACUAGAGUGUGGUAGGGGAGACUGGAAUUCCUGGUGUAGCGGUGAAAUGCGCAGAUAUCAGGAGGAACACCGAUGGCGAAGGCAGGUCUCUGGGCCACUACUGACGCUGAGAAGCGAAAGCAUGGGGAGCGAACAGG